rnacentral:rRNA from 1 species
AAAAGGCGGCGUAAGCUGUCGCUAAAGGAUGGACCCGCGGUGCAUUAGCUAGUUGGUAAGGUAACGGCUUACCAAGGCGACGAUGCAUAGCCGAGUUGAGAGACUGAUCGGCCACAUUGGGACUGAGACACGGCCCAAACUCCUACGGGAGGCAGCAGUAGGGAAUCUUCCACAAUGGGCGAAAGCCUGAUGGAACAACGCCGCGUGAGUGAAGAAGGUUUUCGGAUCGUAAAGCUCUGUUGUUGGUGAAGAAGGAUAGAGGUAGUAACUGGCCCCUAUUUGACGGUAAUCAACCAGAAAGUCACGGCUAACUACGUGCCAGCAGCCGCGGUAAUACGUAGGUGGCAAGCGUUGUCCGGAUUUAUUGGGCGUAAAGCGAGCGCAGGCGGAAAGAUAAGUCUGAUGUGAAAGCCCCCGGCUUAACCGAGGAAUUGCAUCGGAAACUGUGUUUCUUGAGUGCAGAAGAGGAGAGUGGAACUCCAUGUGUAGCGGUGGAAUGCGUAGAUAUAUGGAAGAACACCAGUGGCGAAGGCGGCUCUCUGGUCUGUAACUGACGCUGAGGCUCGAAAGCAUGGGUAGCGAACAGGAUUAGAUACCCUGGUAGUCCAUGCCGUAAACGAUGAGUGCUAAGUGUUGGGAGGUUUCCGCCUCUCA